UUAUGUCCUACGAUUCUCUAAUUGACCCUUCAAAUUACCUUUAAUAAGAGAUUAACACUUGUUUACUGAAUUUUAGUGUAAAAACCUUCAUGUAAUACACUUAUAUUCAAGUAGUCCUCCCACUACCUGAAUUUUCAGGAACUCCUCAAACUUUAGCUAUGGUGUUCUCCUUCUCUCUUAAGUCUUUGUUCUUUUCUUCUCAGACUUGUCUUUUUUUUUUC
rnacentral:lncRNA from 1 species